UGCAGUACCUCCACAGCUCGCCCACAUUGCAGCAGAAACCUGGGCCAACAUAUACUGCCACAGACCAUUCCAAGAGGAAGUGUUUCUGUGAUGACCUAAUGGUUGAAGUUCUGGAGAGUGCCAGCAAACAGGCUCAGUACCAAAGACAGAGGGACUUACAGCUAGAGUAAAGGCAUGAGACACGCUGGACAGGUAACACCACAGACCACGGAUCACGACUGGAACACAGACCACCACUGGAAAAUGACAAUGACAAGGACCACUUGGAACUUCACACAGGGUCAGGAGGGACACCACACAGGAUCAAUGGAGGCAGUAACACGAUGAUAGCAGGGCAGAUGAACCACUAAAGUUGACUGAUGACUGUCCGUGAUAUAUUAAGAAUGGAACAACAGCAUUCCUUGGGGUGGGAGAACAGAUGUAUUUCAGCAGAAGUGGAAGUUGGUACCUAAGGGAUCCAUCUGA